UCUUGUUUUCGUCUCUAUUCACGCACACACACAAAGCUUCAGCUGCACCACAUUCGAAUCAAGAGCAUAUCACGCAACAAUGGUGAAAACCAAGAGCUGUUGGUUAGAACAGUGCAAACCGAGCCUCCUCUUCAAUAUUUUCGACUUGUUUUCACUAUCAUUCCUCCCAGAAUGGUAGAACUUUUAGUAGGGCCGAGAGUAGCUAGUCAGGAUGAUGAUCAAGGCCGAGGAUGAGUUCGACCCGGAGA